CCACCUGAAUAUUAUUCUGUUCCUAUUUCCUUUAUAUACGUCCGCCAGGGCUCCUCAGCCCAACCCCAAUCUCACAUUUGGAUAGAGGGAGAGAGAGAGAGAGAGAGUCAUCACAUCUCCGUCAGCUAAAAACCAAGGAAUCAUAUUCUUUAUGGUUCCUUUCUUGAUUAAUAUAUUAGAUAUUCCUGGGGACUGAGCAUUGGUUUUUCUGUGAGAUUUCUAGAGAAUUCAAGCUCAAGGGUCUGUUGGGUUUCAUCAGAAAACAUGAAGUUCUGCAAGAAAUACCAGGAGUACAUGCAAGGCCAACAGAAAGAACUCCCUGGGGUUGGAUUAAAGAAGCUUAAAAAGAUUUUGAAGAAAUGUAGGAGAGACUUUGAAUCCCAUCAAGAACUUGAUGGGGCUCCUCCUGCUGCCGAUCACUGUUCUCAUCAAUGUCCAGUGUGCGAUGGAACCUUCUUCUCUUCCCUUCUCAAAGAAAUGUCUGCAGUAGUUGGUUGCUUUAGUGAACGAGCACAGAAAUUGCUUGAGCUGCACCUGGCUUCUGGCUUUCAAAAAUACUUUAUUUGGUUCAAAGGCAAGUUGCAAGGAAAUCAUGUUGCCUUGAUGCAAGAAGGCAAGGAUCUGGUUACGUAUGCACUUAUAAAUGCCAUAGCAGUCCGAAAAAUCCUAAAGAAAUAUGAUAAGAUUCAUUACUCCAACCAAGGACAGGCCUUCAGGUCACAAGCCCAAAGUAUGCACAUUGAGAUUCUUCAGUCUCCAUGGCUCUGUGAGCUUAUGGCUCUCCACAUCAAUUUAAGGAAAACAAAGAUCAAUUCAAAGAAUAAGGUCCCUGCCUUGUUUGAGGGGUGCUCACUAACAUUUGAUGAUGAUGACAAACCAUCACUUUCUUGUGAGCUCUUUGAUUCCAUCAAGCUUGAUAUUGAUUUGACUUGUUCAAUAUGCUUGCACAUGAAAGAAAUGUUAUAAAGGUCUGUUACAAUGAUGUCCAUGGUGAAAACUGGAGGAAUUUGUUGAGUUUUGUGUUGAUAAUUCCUUUAUGAAAAAUCAUGGGCUACAUACAGUAUUUUUUCUGGUGAGUAUCUCCCUGCUCCAUUUAGAUUGAUCUUUCUUUUAAGAUGACUUCUCAGUCCCUAGUGAAUAAGAACAAUAUCCAAUUUGCAGCCAGACAAACCAGAUCCAGCAUCAGCUUUCUUCUUUUGGUAGAGUAGAAGAAUAAUUUCAGGAUUAGAAGGCAUACAUUCUGGCUUUGUUAUUAUGGUGCUCUCAUAGGUCCCAUUAGUGAUUAAUUCAUGUAAAUUUCUUUUGAUGACAGGAGACAGUAUUUGAUCCAGUUUCUCUUGCAUGUGGCCAUAUAUUCUGCUAUAUGUGUGCUUGCUCUGCUGCUUCAGUGACUAUUGUUGAUGGCCUAAAAGCUGCAGAACCUAAAGAAAAAUGCCCUUUAUGCCGGGAGACUGGAGUUUAUGAAGGUG